CCUGGGAAGAGAAGAGGAAACAGAGGCCAAAGAUCCAUUACCGGAAGAAGAAGCAGCUCAUGAGGCUACGGAAGCAGGCUGAAAAGAAUAUAGAGAAGAAAAUCGACAAAUUCACAGAGGUCCUCAAGACCCAUGGACUCCUAGUCUGAGCCCAAUAAAAUUGACUGUUUAUUCUUCACGCUUGGCCUGGCCUGCCCUUCCUCCAUCGCCGCCAUAGGAUGUGGGGACCCCCAGGGCCUGCCAUCCAGGUGCCACAGGCAGCCCAGGGCUUAGAAGGCUGGGGACACCAAGGGGACGGACUUUAGUGCUGUUUAGGAAAGGCCGUUUUAAACUUUACAGAGCUCUAAGGGCUAUAGGCAUAGUUUGUCUGUGACCAACUCAUUUGUGACAGUUGGAACAACCAGUGCAGCAUCAGGACUGGUAACGGGGAGCUGGAAGACUAACUGGAGGGGACCCCUACGUCUGCUUAAACCUCCCACAGGGCUGGUUACUAUACUCUGCAGCUGUUAGGACGUGAGCGAAUGCUUGGGCAUCAGGAGUCCGGUGUCUACAGAGGUGUUUGUGGAAGGGAAGUGCAGCCAGGGGGUCACAGGCAUCGCCCUUGUGUCUUCCCUGUGUUUUGUGAUUCAACGCUAAUAAAUUAUUUUUAAAGGAAAAAAAA